rnacentral:snRNA from 1 species
ACUCAUUCUGGCAGUAUACUAAAAUUGGGACAAUACAGAGAAGUUUUAGCAUGGUCAAGGAUGCAAGGAUGACAAAUUCAUGACGCGUUCCAUAUAUUA